UACGUAGGGUGCAAGCGUUAUCCGGAUUUACUGGGCUUAAAGGGUGCGUAGGCGGGCAGGUAAGUCAGAGGUGAAAUCUCCGAGCUUAACUCGGAAACUGCCUUUGAUACUAUUUGUCUUGAAUAUUGUGGAGGUAAGCGGAAUAUGUCAUGUAGCGGUGAAAUGCUUAGAUAUGACAUAGAACACCUAUUGCGAAGGCAGCUUACUACGCAUAUAUUGACGCUGAGGCACGAAAGCGUGGGGAUCAAACAGG
rnacentral:rRNA from 1 species